rnacentral:rRNA from 1 species
GACGAACGCUGGCGGCGUGCUUAACACAUGCAAGUCGAACGGAAAGGCCCUGCUUUUGUGGGGUGCUCGAGUGGCGAACGGGUGAGUAACACGUGAGUAACCUGCCCUUGACUUUGGGAUAACUUCAGGAAACUGGGGCUAAUCCCGGAUAGGAGCUCCUGCUGCAUGGUGGGGGUGGGAAAGUUUUGGCGGUUGGGGAUGGACUCGCGGCUUAUCAGCUUGUUGGUGGGGUAGUGGCUUACCAAGGCUUUGACGGGUAGCCGGCCUGAGAGGGUGACCGGCCACAUUGGGACUGAGAGACGGCCCAGACUCCUACGGGAGGCAGCAGUGGGGAAUAUUGCACAAUGGGCGGAAGCCGGAUGCAGCAACGCCGCGUGCGGGAUGACGGCCUUCGGGUUGUAAACCGCUUUCGCCUGUGACGAAGCGUGAGUGACGGUAAUGGGUAAAGAAGCACCGGCUAACUACGUG